UUUAUUCCUUACUUUGUUAAUAUGGUUAUCACAUUGAUUGAUUUGCAUAUAUUGAAGAAUCCUUGCAUCCCUGGGAUAACUGCUUAAUCAUGAUGUAUAAUCCUUUUAUUAAUAUAUUGUUGGCUUCUGUUCAUUAGUAGUUUGUUAAGGAUAUUUGUGUCUUUGUUCAUCAGUGAUAUUGGUCUGUAAUUUCCUUUUUUGUGGGAUAUCUUUUCUGGUUUUGGUAUCAGGAUGAUAGUGGCCUUAUAGAAUGAAUUUAUAAGUGUUUGUAAUUCUGAGAUUUUUUGGGAAGAGUUUGAGAAGGAUAGAUGUUAUCUCUUCUCUAAAAGUUGGUUCAAAUUGCCUGGGAAGCUGUCUGGUCCUCGACUUUUGUUUGUUGGAAUAUGUUUAAUCACAUUUUCAAUUUCACUACUUGUGAUUGGCCUGUUUAUAUUUUCUAAUUUUUCCUGGUUCAGUCUUGAAAGCAUGUAUCUUUCCAAGAAUUUAUCCAUUUUUUCCAGGUUGUCUUUUUAUUAGAUUACAGUUGUUUAUAGCAGUCUCUAUGAUCCUCUGUAUAUCUGUGGUGUCAAUGCUGAUGUCUUCUUUUUCAUUUCUAAUUUUACUGAGUCCUUGCUCUUUUUUUCUUGAGUAGUCUGGUUGAAGGUUUAUUAGUUUUGUUUACCUUCUCAAGGAACCAACUUUUACUUUAAUUGACCUUUGCUAUUGUUUUCUUGUUUCCUAUUUCAUUUAUUUCUGGUCUGAUCUUUGUGAUUUUGUUUCUUCUAUUGACUUUGGGUUUUCUUUCUCCUCUUUCUCUCGUAGGUUAGAUUGUUAGUUCGAGACUUUUUCUUGUUUCUUGAGGUGAGAUUGUGCUGCUGUGCGCUUCCCUUUCAGAACCACUUUUACUGUGUCCGAUAGGUUUUGGGUUGUCAUCUUCUCAGCAUUGUUUGUUUCUGUGCAUUUUUAAAUUUCCUCUUUAAUUUCUUCAGUGAUCUCUUGGUUAUUUAGCAGUGCACUGUUUAGCUUCCAUGUAUUUGUGUGUUUUUUUUGCAUUUUUUCCCCUGUAAUUGAUUUCUAAUCUCAUAGCAUUGUGGUAGGACAAAAUGCUGAUACGAUUUCAAUUUUUUCAAAUUUUCCGAGGCUUGAUAUAUGGUCCAAGAUGUGGUUUAUCCUGGAGAAUGUUCCAUGUGCGCUUGAGAAAAAAAAUUGUUCUCCUGCUUUCAGGUGGAAUGUCGUAUAAAUAUCAGUUAACUCUUUUUGGUCUGUUGUGUCCUUGAAAGCUUGUGUUUGCUUAGUUAUGUUCUGUUUGGAUGAUGUUUCCACUGGUAUAAGUGGGGAGCUGAAGUCCCCCAAUACUAAUUGUGUUAUGGUUGAUUUCCCCUUUUAUGGUUGUUAGUGUUUGCCUUAUGUAUUGAGGUGCUCCUAUUUCUAUGCAUAACUAUUUGUAAUUGUUUUAUCUUCUUCCUGGAUUGAGUCUUUGAUUAUUAUGUAGUGUCCUUCCUUACCUCUUUAACAGUUUGUAUUUUAAAGUCUAUUUUAUCUGAUAUGAGUAUUGCUACUCCAGCUUUCUUUUGAUUUCCAUUUGCAUGGAAUAUCUUUUUCCGUCUCUCACUUGCAGUCUGUAUGUGUCCUUAGGUCUGAAAUGGGUCUCUCGUAGGCAGCAUAUACACGGGUCUUGUUUUUGUAUCCAUUCAGUGUCUGUGUGUUUUGGUUGGGGCGUUUAAUCCACUUACAUUUAUAUAUGAUUCAUAUUUCCUAUUACCAUUUUCUCUACUGUUUUCUUAAUUGGUGUUGAAUUCUCUUUGCUUUUGCUUGUCUGUAAAGCUUUUGAUUUCUCUGCCAAAUCUGAAUGAGAUCUUUCUGUAUAGUCUUUGCUGUGGGCUUUUUUCCUUUCAUCACUUUACGUAUAUCCUGUCACUCCCUUCUGGCCAGCAGAGUUUCUGCUGAAAAAUCAGCUGAUGGCCAUAUGGGGACUCCCUUGUAUGUUAUUUUUUGCUUUUCCACUGCUGCUUUUAAUAGCUUUUCUUUGUAUUUAUUUUUUAUUAGUCUGAUUAUCAUGUGUCUUGGUAUGUUUCUCUUAUCCUAUAUGGGACUCUCUACACUUCCUGGAUUCUGGUUGAGUUUUUCCUCUCCCAUGUUAGGGAGGUUCUCAACUAUAAUCUCUUCAAAUAUUUUCUCAGACCCUUUGGCUUUCUCUUUUUCUGGAACCCCUAUAAUUCAAAUGUUGGUGCAUUUAAUAUAAUACUGUUCCAGAGAGCUUUGAGACUAUCUUCAGUUCUCUUCAUUUUUUCCUUUAUUCUGCUCCUUGGAAGUUAUUUCCAUCAUUCUGUCUUCCAGUUCACUUAUUCGUUCUUCUGCCUCAGUUAUUCUGCCAUUGAUUUCCUUCUAGCAUAUUUGUAAUUUUAGUUACUGCAUUUUUCAUCACCGUUUGUUCAUUCUUUUGUUCUUCUAGGUGUUUGUUUAAUACAUUUUCUUCUAUUUCUGCGAUUUUGGAUCAUCUUUACUAUCACUACUCUGAAUUAUUUUUCAGAUAGUUACCUAUUUCCUCCUCAUUUAUUUGAUCUUGUAGGUUUUUACCUUGCUCCUUUGUCUGUAACAUAUAUUUUUGUCAUCCUAUUUUUUUUUUUUUAUGAGUAGGAAUGUGUUCCUAUCUACUGUUUGUUUGGCCUGAGGUUUCUGGCAGUGGAGUUUGCAGGCAGUUGGGUCGAGCUGGGUCUUGGUGUUGAGAUGUGGACCUCUGGGAGACCUUACUCUGCUUAGUAUUCCCUGGGGUCUGAGGUUCUCUAUUGGUUCAGUGGUUCAGACUCGGUACUCCCACCACUAGAGCUCAUUUCUAAUCUCUGGCCCAUGAACUGAGAUCCCACAAGCCACAGGACACUGCAAAAAAAAAAAAAAAAAAAAAAAAAAAAAAAGAGCAGAAUAAAAACAAAGAAUAAAAAUUACAAUUUAGAAAAUCAGCAGAUAUAUUAGAAAAAAUAAGAAUAUAUAUGAAACAAACACCAGAAGGUAAAACAGAACUCCAGUAGCAAAGGAGAAAACCAAAAACCAAACCAAACCAAAACAAAAAGGACCCAAAAAAGCCUUGGCUGUGGGGGGCAGGGCUUAGGCAGGGCAGCCCUUAGGCAGGGUGGGGUUUAGGUGUAGGACCCAGGCCAGGAAAGGCCCUAGGUGGGUGUCAGGGUGGCACCCGGGCUCAGCCUGGCCUGUAGGGGCCCUCUGGAGUGCCUCUGGCCUCACGGUUUAGAGGCCCAGGGCCUCAGCAAGCUCCCUGGAGCUGAGUGACCAGGGAUGGAGAAUGCUAGAUGUGUUUCCCUGGUCCUCCAACCCCUCAGGUCCCUCCUAGUCCCUGCUGAUCCCCGGAAGGUAAAUGUGUCUCUUCAGGUGUGUAAACCCCUCCCUUUACCCAGCCGCCCUGCGGGUAUACCUGCCACAUCCAGCCUCCACUUCUCCUCCCCUGUCGCUAUCCCCGCCGCCAUCCUACCCAGGUGCUCGGGGGUUCCUCUGGUUUUCCUGGGUGUCCAAGGUCCUCCACCAGCAUCUGGUAAAUAUCCUGUUGGUGAGGAGACCUGGACUCUGCAUCUUCUCUCCCCAUCAUCUGGGCCCCACUUCCCCUAAAACUUAAAUAAAUGGGACCAAUAAUAAAAAAAAAAAUUUCAUAAAGAAAGAUCUAAGCCCAUUGGUUUGUUGAUGAAGUGAAAAUGUUAGUCAUUCAGCCGUUUCCAACUUUUUGUGACCCCCCUGGACUGUAGCCUGCCUGGCUCCUUUGUCCAUGGAAUUCUCUUGGCAAAAAUACCGGAAUGGGUAGCCAUUCCCUUCUCCAGGGGAUAGUCCUGACCCAGGGAUUGAACCCAGGUCUCCUGCAUUGCAGGCAGAUUUUUUACCAUCUAAGUCGCCAGGGAAACCCUGUUCUAUUGAUAAAAUUAUGCCAAAUUUCUGUUAAGUAGUUAUUCCAUGUUCACAGAGAUUCUAGAGAAUAAAACAAGGAGAUAUACCCUCUAGUUUGAUCCAUGUAACUAUGGGAUAACAUAGAUACCAAAAUAUGACAAGGAAUGUAAGGAGAAUUAAAAUUAUGGGCCAAUAUCUUGUGGAGGAAAAGGGGGCAACAGGAUGAGAUGGGUGGAUGGCAUCACUGACUCAAGGAACAUGAGUUUGUGCAAACUCCGGAAGAUAGUGAAGGACAGGGAAGUCUCGUGUGCUGCAGUCUAUGGGUCACAAAAACUUGGACAUGACUGAGUGACUGAGCAGUAACAACAAAUCCUGUGGAUGUUGAGGCCUGUAUCUUCAACAAAAUACUGGCAAAAAAAAAAAAAAAAUCCUGGCAAAGUCGCUGAACACUAUAUGAAGGUGAGAACAGAUUAUGAUGAAAGACAUGGUCCAGGCAUGCAACAUUGAUUUAAAAUUCUGACCAUGAGAAAACCAGUAUAAUGCAUGACAUUAACUGAUUGGAAGUGAGAAAUGAUGUGAUUUUUCUCAGUAAAUGCAGGAUAAAAGUUUGAUCAAUUUUAACACCAUAAUUUUGUCAUCAACUUAGGCCAUAAAAUUCUAUCAAUAAACAAACUUUCCCUUACCUUGAUAAACGGCACUCUAGAAAACACCAGGCGACAUCACAUUUAAAGUAAAACCUUGAAGGUUUUAAUUUGAGUUCAUGAGCAAGAGACGGAGGUCAACUGUCGCCACUUCUGUCCAACGCUGCACAAAACAGAAGGGAGGCCAGUGAAAUGCAGAAAUGCAGAAACAUGGUGGGAUUCAAAGAUGACAUGGUUAUGGAUAUCGAAAUUUCAAGGAUAAGUGAUUUGACUUCGGGCAUUUGGAAAUAUAAAUGCACACAAAUAUUAACAUGCAGAAAACACUACUAUAUUUAUAUACUAAUCACAAACAGUUAUUUUAAAACAGAAUUUUAAAACAAUAAUAGCAUCAGAGGUAUCAUGUUUCUAAUUCUGAAUAUAAUGCAAGGUGCUUAAUGGCUCUGGGGGAGGGGCGGUGGGAAUAACAUUUUUGAGAGAUGAUAAAGAAGGUCCUAAAUAAAUGGAUAGAAAUCCAUGAAAGAAUCUAGGAUGUUCAAUAACAGUCCAUAUCCAAGCAGAUGUUCUUUGGGAGGGGAGUAUUGAGAAUUGACAGUCAAUGUGAGCAUUUGCUCUAUCGAUAUUAAAGACUAUUAUAAAGCUACAGUAAUGUAGAAAGAUGGGUCAAUGAAGGGACAGUUCUCAGACCAGAGGAACAGAAGAGGGAGUUUAGCGGAAGAGCUGUCCACAGACAGGCUUUUGUUCCGCCCCCACUUCUUUUUCAAGCGUGGCGGCUGUGCAAGGAGUGGGAAAUGAUGGUCUUUUUGUAGGAAUUUGUUUUUCCAUUUGACCACGUAAGGAAAAAAGUUCAUCUGAUAACACAAACCACAUAGAACCAACUCCAGGUCGGUUAGAGACCUUAGGGUAAGAGAUAAAACCAUGAAAACUCGUAGAUGAUGACUUAGAUUGCCUUGUGGCUUUUGGGUAAGGGGAGAUUCCUGACAUGGAACAAGAAUGACACAUUUGACUGCAUUAAAGCUAAAAGCUUUACAAUAAAAAAAAAAAAAAAAAACUAAAAGCUUUCAUUAGAUUCAUUUGGUUCAGUUCAGUCGCUCAGUCAUGUCCAACUCUUUGCGACCCCAUGGACUGCAGCACGCCAGGUCUCCCUGUCCUUCAGCAUCUCCCAGAGCAUGCUCAAACUCAUGCCCGUUGAGUCAGUGAUGCCAUCCAACCAUCUCGAUUCAUCAGAAGACACCAUAAAAGAGUGGCAUGCAAGUCACACAGAUAUGGGAGAGAAAAGCUUUAAUAUGCAAAUAGAAGUCCUAAAAAUGAAUAUGAAAAAGGCAGACAGUGCCAUUGAAAAUCAGGCAAGUUCUUUAUCUGUGACACCACAAAAGAGCAAAGGACCCAAAAAAUGACCAUAAUGACAAAAAAGAUGAAUAGAGCUGCUCCACUUUGUGGGUCACCAGAACCAUACAGGAGACAGCCACAGGAAGUACCACCUCACUUCCACCAGAUUGGCAACAGUUGACACGCUGAGAAUAGUCAAGAGGGUGGAGCCUCAGUAAUUUUCAUGCACUGUGGGUAGGAACACUCUCCGUACAGUUGAGUGGGAGAGACUGGCUUCAUCUAGGAAGGUUGCAUAGAUCAUGACUCCGCCCCACCCCCCCCACCCCCCACAGAUCCUAUAUACAGAGAAGUCUUUUGCAAUGUUCUUACUUAGAACUACCCACUUGGAGCUGUGGCCAAAUGGAUAGAAAAAUUGUGUCAUCACUACUGAUAGGGUAUGGGGCCUCUUGGGUACAUAUCUAGUGCAGAGCUUAGAGAAGUUUCUAGCCCUCCUACUUCCCUAUUUAGUCCCUUCCCCCCGCCGGCCCCCCCCCCCCUCCACUGUUGCCUUCCUGCCUUAGAUGAACGUGUCUUUGACUUUGUACUUCCCUCCUUGUCCCCAGAGUCCAUGCCUGUACAUCAUUUGCCAGGGAACAGCCAGUGUUGAGUGAAGGGCAUACUGUGAUUGGGGGGACAGCCAUGCUGAGUUGCAAGGUGGCCCAGACCCAGAAGGAGGUGACAUCGUUCAAGGAUGAGAAGAAGCUGAGUGCCAACUCAAAAGUGCAGGAAGAGACCCAGGGCCAUGCCCAGCGGCUGGUGGUGUAGCAGGCGGGGAAAGCAGACACUGGGGAGUACAGCUCUGAGGCUGGAGGCUGGAAGGUCACCUUGUGUGUGGACAUCACAGGGGGUUCUAACUGAGAGCAUUUGAAGGAGAUGAUGGGACUGACAAAUAGACUCACUGGACCCUAGUGCUCUUUACAUUAGACUUCUUUUCUUCAAGUUUUCCAUCCUUCCACUUCCUAGUCUUAUGCCCACGGCUGAACCAAGGGAAUUUAAAUUGGAGGGGUAUGUAUAUGGAAGGGAGUUUGGCCAUUCUUGUAAACUUCAAGUAGUGUUUGAUGUAACACUUAUUCACAUGUCCCAACAGCUGUGUAGAAUCUUCCCCAUAUUGAGGACUCUGGAAUCCACCUGGUACUUGAGGUUUGAAGUAGAUGAGAUAUCUCUUAUCUGGGAAUAUGUGCAUAUCCUUCUGUUGAAUAUUUUGGCUGUUCCCACAUCCCUCACCUAACAUCACAUGAGAGUUCUUACUAGUGAGACCUGUUUGAAUUUCACUGAACCAAAAUUAAGGGGACUUUUUUUGGGGGGGCACAUAAUCACGCUUGGAAUUAUAUCAAAACUAAAAUUUGGUUCAUGAUAGUUUAGGUGUUCUGGGAGGCUCUUUUCUCUUUCACUUCAUGUACCAAAUUCUUGAUCGAGCUUUUGUCUCAGUGCCUGUGAACAGUGAAAAAGGAGCUGACUGUUGGUAGGUAUGUACCUGUGAUAUGCGCCUGAGGUUUAGAAUGCUCUUUUCAAACAACAUAUUGUUUUCCUUUGUCUUCAGUUAGAACAUUUGUGUCAGUAUUCUUGGAGUUUGAUUUGUAAGCUAAGAAAUGGAAACGAAUAAGUAGCUAAUACUAUACCACUACACUAAAAGAUGAGUUUUUAUAGUAGCAGCAGCCAUGGUCUCAUAAAACAAUAUUUACUUUAUAGAAUUUCCCUCAUGGUUAGUGUGUUUGUGCCUCCCUGGCUGGUUCAUAGAGAAGUCUGAGAUCUAAAUUUCUUUUCCUUUCAUUAGGAGUUUGUUACAGGUAGACAACUGAUUGGAAAUGUAUUAGUUCUUGAGUGGGUAGUGGAUUCAUUGUUCAUUAUACUAUUAAAAGCAUAAGUACUU